rnacentral:rRNA from 1 species
CGGGAGUAACAACCUCGGAAACAAGAUGCUAAUACAGGAUAACAACAGAUGAUGCCUAUCAACUGUUUAAAAGAUGGUUCUGCUAUCACUCUUGGAUGGACCUGCGGUGCAUUAGCUAGUUGGUAGGGUAACGGCCUACCAAGGCGAUGAUGCAUAGCCGAGUUGAGAGACUGAUCGGCCACAUUGGGACUGAGACACGGCCCAAACUCCUACGGGAGGCAGCAGCC